rnacentral:rRNA from 1 species
UACGGAGGAUGCGAGCGUUAUCCGGAUUUAUUGGGUUUAAAGGGUGCGCAGGCGGCGUGUCAAGUCAGCGGUAAAAUGUCGGGGCUCAACCCCGGCCGGCCGUUGAAACUGGCGUGCUCGAGUUGGAGAGAAGUAUGCGGAAUGCGCGGUGUAGCGGUGAAAUGCAUAGAUAUCGCGCAGAACUCCGAUUGCGAAGGCAGCCUACCGGCUUCUGUCUGACGCUGAGGCACGAAAGCGUGGGUAUCGAACAGG